AGGAUGUCAGGAAACGAUCGGGUUCUGUAAACAAAUGAAUGAUAUGUUCAAUGCGUUGAACAGCAAAACUCCGAAUGAAGGGGUUAUCCCGGAGAGUAAAGACUUCAAGGUAUUGCAAAAAUCUCUUGAAUGGUUAAACGAGUGGAAGACGGCAUUGCAAAAAGGUGAAAUAAGGUGAAAUAACGGCUGAUAAAUAUUUAACAAGAGAGACUUCAAAAGCGUUGCGAAUAUUUCUGCGAUCUACUAUGAAUAUGUGCUGUUAUCUUAUCGAAAAAUUUGAUUUCCAAUAUCUAUUAACAGGAAAAGUUAAUCAAGAUAACUUGGAGAAUUUCUUUGGCAUCAUUCGUCAAGUCACAGAGUGUAACGAUCACUCACACAGCCCCACGUUCUUGCAGCUGUAUAAAAUAUUGUAGGUGUAUAGCAUCAUAAAGUCUCCAAAAUUCGGAAACCGCACUGUGUCCGAACAGUCGUCGCCACAGCUUCUGCUGUCAUUGCAGGAUUUAAAAACAGCCUAUGGGUAAAAGUCUGAGGCGAAAAGUGUUAAGUAUCAACGUGAAAUUUGAACGAAGCUAGACGAGAUUCUGCAGCACGACGAUUGGGAGGCAAAUGACGUCAUUGAGAAUAAUCCUGACCACGAUUAUGCCCUGUCCGAUUCCCCUAUCCUUGACUGUAUUAUUUACUACGUUACAGGUUUUUUAUUUUAAGAUCUAUUUCUUAUAAUCUUAUCGUAGAUAUCUUUGUAUUGUAGACUAACAUUGCUUCUCGUUUUCGCCAUGAAUUGCUAUUGCAUGCUUUAGUUUUGUUCAUAUAUAUCGUGGACUAGAACAUUUCCUCUCGUUGCAUGUCAUCCGAACAUGCGACAUACUCCUUUACAUAUUUAUAUGGGAUUCACAGGUUACCUAUGUAAACAAGUAUUGAAAAUUCACAAAAAAUGCAUUACUUGUUAAGAAGCGAUAAAAUCAGACUCUUCUAGUGCAUCUUCAGUGUCGCAUUUGGUUGAUCUGAAAUCAAGAGGAAGACUGAUUCACGCAAAUUUGAGUUUUAUCAACUUAAUUCGUCACGUAGAGGCAUGUUUUGCUAAAUAUCCCGUCGCGAUGUUUUUGAUUGCACGUUAGAUGAAGUUAUGUCUAUUUUUAAAUUUACUUUUUUUGCAAAGAGCACGCCUCAAACAUUGUGUUAUAUUCAAUAAUAUAUUACAUACGGCUAAGAAUGAGGCAAAAUACCUACCAGAAAAAUCUUAAAAUCGCAA